rnacentral:rRNA from 1 species
GGCGAACGCUGGCGGCGUGCUUAACACAUGCAAGUCGAGCGGUAAGGCCCUUUCGGGGGUACGACGAGCGGCGAACGGGUGAGUAACACGUGGGUGACCUGCCCUUAGCUCUGGGAUAAGCCUGGGAAACUGGGUCUAAUACCGGAUAUGACUCCAUGACGCAUGUUGUGGGGUGGAAAGCCUUGUGCGGCUAGGGAUGGGCCCGCGGCCUAUCAGCUUGUUGGUGGGGUGAUGGCCUACCAAGGCGACGACGGGUAGCCGGCCUGAGAGGGCGACCGGCCACACUGGGACUGAGACACGGCCCAGACUCCUACGGGAGGCAGCAGUGGGGAAUCUUGCGCAAUGGGCGAAAGCCUGACGCAGCGACGCCGCGUGGGGAUGACGGCCU